GACGAACGCUGGCGGCGUGCUUAACACAUGCAAGUCGAACGGAAAGGCCCUGCUUGCAGGGUACUCGAGUGGCGAACGGGUGAGUAACACGUGGGUGAUCUGCCCUGCACUUCGGGAUAAGCCUGGGAAACUGGGUCUAAUACCGGAUAGGAGCCAUUUUUAGUGUGAUGGUUGGAAAGUUUUUUCGGUGUAGGAUGAGCUCGCGGCCUAUCAGCUUGUUGGUGGGGUAAUGGCCUACCAAGGCGGCGACGGGUAGCCGGCCUGAGAGGGUGGACGGCCACAUUGGGACUGAGAUAAGGCCCAGACUCCUACGGGAGGCAGAAGUGGGGAAUAUUGCACAAUGGGCGCAAGCCUGAUGCAGCGACGCCGCGUGGGGGAUGACGGCCUUAGGGUUGAAAACUCCUUUCGCUAGGGACGAAGCUUUUUGUGACGGUACCUAGAUAAGAAGCACCGGCUAACUACGUG
rnacentral:rRNA from 1 species